CCAAGAUUUAGUCUGACCCAAACCACCUAUAUUAGACGGGCUGACUACAGAGUGUCUAAUUUCCAGAUAAGCGAUGCGCCUUCGCUUCUUCCCUCCAGAGGGAGGGGGCAGUCCAAUAACCGGUUCCAAAUAUAAAACCCCUUGUGGGCCUACCGCUCUAACGGUAUAGUCUUACCUUUUAGUUCCUGGACCUGGGUUCACACUCAUCGACGGGGCACCCCGGUACUCACUGCGCAGAAGCCGAUGAUCUCCUGGACAAAAGCCCAGUGGCGCCGAGACGAAAGGAGGUCCACGCAGAAGUUCAGGGGUGCUGUCGUGGAGAACGUUGGUAAAAGUUUACCAUCUCAAAUCUCUGCGCCAGCUUCCGUGCAAUGAGGUUCCUGGACCCAAUGCACCAAAAAUGUUACCGGAGGAUAACAGGAACAAACCGCAGAAGCCACACAGAGAUAUGGACACAAGUCUUCAGGAAGUAACAGGUCUUUUAUUUACACACCGAUCUGGUCUCAGAUGAACUCCUGUUCCAAAAAUAUCUGAGAGAGGGAAAGCAUGGUGCAGAGGCCUUUUGUUAGCAGCAGUAUAACCCCUCCUAUAUUCCACAGACCAAUCAGCACACAGGAUAUUCAGGAUCACCUUAUAUAGGCAGACCACAUGGCAUUUACAGACAAAGGAAAGUACUAUCCACUUCCACACAUGCUCAGUAUACUGAUGACUCAUCCAACUGUUUGUAAUCAGAUACUAAUUAGCAUAUGCCAUGUGGAG